CCUGAUGUUCUGCCAUCAGUAUCCUACCUGCUGAAUAAAGUGCGCAGGGACAAAUGUAGCCUCAUCUGAAAUGGAUGACCAUCAAACCGUGAGGGGAGAUGGUGACUGUUAGCACCAAUACGGUCGGGAGC
rfam:Candidatus Magnetoglobus multicellularis str. Araruama Cont826, whole genome shotgun sequence.